rnacentral:rRNA from 1 species
GAUGAACGCUGGCGGCAGGCUUAAUACAUGCAAGUCGUGGGGCAGCAGGACUGUAGCACUACAGUUGCUGGCGACCGGCAAACGGGUGCGGAACACGUACGCAACUUACCCUGAACUGGGGGAUAGCCCGGGGAAACCCGGAUUAAUACCCCGUAAUAUAAUGGAGUGGCAUCACUUUAUUAUUAAAGCUCCGGCGGUUCGGGAUGGGCGUGCGGCUGAUUAGGUAGUUGGUUGAGGUAACGGCUCACCAAGCCUACGAUCAGUAACUGGUGUGAGAGCACGACCAGUAACACGGGCACCGAGACACGGGCCCGACUCCUACGGGAGGGAGCAGUAAGGGAUACUGGGCAAUGGAGGCAACUCUGACCCAGCCAUGCCGGGUGGAGGAUGAAGGCCCUCUGGGUUGUAAACUUCUUUUAUAGGGGACGAAACCUGUGUAUUCUUACGCAGUUGACGGUACCCGAGGAAUAAGCACCGGCUAACUCCGUG